UACGUAGGGUGCAAGCGUUGUCCGGAAUUAUUGGGCGUAAAGAGCUCGUAGGCGGCUUGUCGCGUCGGCUGUGAAAGUCCGGGGCUCAACUCCGGAUCUGCGGUGGGUACGGGCAGACUAGAGUGAUGUAGGGGAGACUGGAAUUCCUGGUGUAGCGGUGAAAUGCGCAGAUAUCAGGAGGAACACCGAUGGCGAAGGCAGGUCUCUGGGCAUUAACUGACGCUGAGGAGCGAAAGCAUGGGGAGCGAACAGG
rnacentral:rRNA from 1 species